UACAGAGGUGGCAAGCGUUGUUCGGAAUUACUGGGCGUAAAGGGCGCGUAGGCGGCUUGGUCAGUCCCGUGUGAAAUCCCUCGGCUCAACUGAGGAACUGCACGGGAAACUGCCUGGCUUGAGUUCGGGAGAGGGAAGCGGAAUUCCGGGUGUAGCGGUGAAAUGCGUAGAUAUCCGGAGGAACACCUAUGGCGAAGGCAGCUCUCUGGGACGGUACUGACGCUGAGACGCGAAAGCGUGGGGAGCGAACAGG
rnacentral:rRNA from 1 species